CGUGGGAUGGCCGAACAACACAGAGCCGGAUAUACAGUGGCCAUGAACCGGCCCAAUCUAUCCCACCCUCCACCUGCUAGACAUACAUCACCAAGACCAUCUGCAGCAAUUCUGCAACCUGCUUCCUCAACUGGACACAAUAACACACUGGAGCUGUUAGUUUGUGUCCUCAGCUCAUGUGAGCUAAAUUUUAAGUUCCUGCCAAGUGCCGAGUUCUCCGGAUCUACGGCAGAAACAAAUUAGGAACACAGUUGGUCAGCACUGCUCUUAACAAGCCUAUUGACCCCAUGGGUAAGAGACCAUAAUCCAUCUGAUAAUGUCAGCCACAUGACUGCUGCACUCCCAUAUAUUUUUUAUAUGAGGCACCAAGUCUGGCAGACACCCUUGGUCUGUCAAGUAGGAACAAAAAAAAAAAAAAAAAAAAAACUCCAUGUGCACACCAUUGGACUUCUUCCAGUUAAGUAUUACAAAUCAUGUUGACAAAACUCAUUAACUACUUCACUAUUGUCACUUUGCUGAACAAAUAAAACUACAAUGACAC